rnacentral:rRNA from 1 species
GCACAAGCGGUGGAUGAUGUGGAUUAAUUCGAUGCAACGCGAACAACCUUACCUACCCUUGACAUGUCUGGAAGGCUGCUGAAAGGUGGCUGUGCCCGCAAGGGAACCGGAACACAGGUGCUGCAUGGCUGUCGUCAGCUCGUGUCGUGAGAUGUUGGGUUAAGUCCCGCAACGAGCGCAACCCUUGUCCUUAGUUGCUACGCAAGGGCACUCUAAGGAGACUGCCGGUGACAAACCGGAGGAAGGUGGGGAUGACGUCAAGUCCUCAUGGCCCUUAUGGGUAGGGCUUCACACGUCAUACAAUGGUCGGUACAGAGGGUAGCCAACCCGCGAGGGGGAGCCAAUCCCAGAAAGCCGAUCGUAGUCCGGAUCGCAGUCUGCAACUCGACUGCGUGAAGUCGGAAUCGCUAGUAAUCGCGGAUCAGCAUGUCGCGGUGAAUACGUUCCCGGGUCUUGUACACACCG